rnacentral:rRNA from 1 species
AAUAGAUACCCGGGUAGUCCACGCCGUAAACGAUGAGUGCUAAGUGUUAGAGGGUUUCCGCCCUUUAGUGCUGCAGCUAACGCAUUAAGCACUCCGCCUGGGGAGUACGGCCGCAAGGCUGAAACUCAAAGGAAUUGACGGGGGCCCGCACAAGCGGUGGAGCAUGUGGUUUAAUUCGAAGCAACGCGAAGAACCUUACCAGGUCUUGACAUCCUCUGCCAACCCUAGAGAUAGGGCGUUCCCCUUCGGGGGACAGAGUGACAGGUGGUGCAUGGUUGUCGUCAGCUCGUGUCGUGAGAUGUUGGGUUAAGUCCCGCAACGAGCGCAACCCUUGAUCUUAGUUGCCAGCAUUCAGUUGGGCACUCUAAGGUGACUGCCGGUGACAAACCGGAGGAAGGUGGGGAUGACGUCAAAUCAUCAUGCCCCUUAUGACCUGGGCUACACACGUGCUACAAUGGAUGGUACAAAGAGCUGCGAACCCGCGAGGGGGAGCUAAUCCGAUAAAACCGUUCUCAGUUCGGAUUGUAGGCUGCAACUCG